rnacentral:lncRNA from 10 species
CGAGUAUGGACCCUGAUAUGGUCUGGCUCUGUGUCCUCACCCAGAUCUCAUCUUGAGUUGUAACUGAAUUGUAAUCCUCAUGUGUUGGUUGGCAGAGGGACCUCGUGGAGGUGAUGAGAUCAUGGGGGCGGUUCCCCCAUGCUGUUCUCAAGACAGUGAAUGAGUCUCAUGUGAUCUGAUGGUCUCAUAAGGGCUUUUCCCCCUUUUGCUCUGUGCUCAUUCUUUCUCCUGUCACCCUGUGAGGAGGUGCCUUCCGCCAUGAUUGUAAGUUUCCUGGGGCUUUCCCAACCAGGCGGAACGCCAGCCCACUCGCCUGCCUGGAGGGUUUGAAGUAUUCUCUAGGCUCAGGGGGAGAGCUCCUUCUGGCUAGUCUUAGAUCACGGGAGCUGAUAGAACGCCAGAAUGAUCCAGCCCAGCCCCCUCAUAUAGCAGAUGGGAAACAGUUUCUGGUUGCCUUCGAAACCUCCUGCCUGUGCCUUUAGAGCAGACCUCUUCAUCUUCCUGAGGUGCGUGUGGGGACCCCAGAGCACAGGGUGAGCUCAGGCCCCUGCUGUGCCCCGGGGACGCUCAGCCACAGAGCACACUGGCUGCAGCUCCGCAUGGGCCCUGCCAGGCUGCACGAGAACCUCUUGACGCAGCGAUUCCCAGGCCAAACCCAGCCACGUUUGUGUUGCGGCUCCACACAGACGGGCCACGACCCUUGUUGUCAGCAAACUCUCUGAGGGUAAGGAGCUGCCACCCGAGGUUCACCUCCAUAGCUGUGCUUCUCCUUCUGCCACACCCAGGAGAGUGGAUUUGCUGUGAGCAGGGGCUGGCCGCUCAUGCUGUUAGGCAGAACAGCUGUGGACUGGUCCCUGUGUCCCCGCCACAUGCCCUGGACAUGAGGUUUGGCUCAUCUCAAGGGUGGACCUACGUCACAGGGCCCGGCUGGCCGACAUGAGGCUGAGUGCCAGCUCCUACUUGCCCCUCCACGUUGACCUGCCCAGUGGGGCCCCUGGGCAGGGAGACCCCGGCCCCAGGCUGACUCUGACACUCCCCGCAAUGUUGGAGCCGCUGGGCGGGCAGACCCCGUCCCCAGGCUGACUCUGACAGCUCCCUGCAAUGUGCCCGUGUCAUGCGGAUUUGGCCUCAGGUAGGUCUCGUCAGGGACACUCUAUCUUCAAAAAAUGCAGCCCACACAGUGGCUGAUUCCAAGGGUCUCAGAGACUCUCCAGAUAGUGCUGAAUGAGGGGGCCAGGGCCCCAGGGUGGCCCAGGGUCCUGUGGGGAGACUCCCUGACCCCAAGAGACUCCCAGUGUGUGGCGUUGUCUGCCCAGCCAGCCUCCCCUACUGCCCAGGUAUAGAGCUGGGCUCCAGCCCGGCCAGUAGGUGCGCUCUAGGGCCCCAGAGGCCACUGGGCCUUGUGCCUGCCCGGGCUCAGACCCUGUGGUUCAGCCAGGAGGAGCAGCCACCUGGGAGCCUUGGGCCCAGAAAUAGGUGGGACAGGCCAGGAUGGCAGGUGGACUUGAAAUUCCACGGCAAGCACGACCGGAAGGAAUACAUCGGGGGCGAUUACACGGUCCUUCUUCCUCCUACCCCAUCAAUACAUUUUUUUUUUCUUUUAAAAAAAGAAAUGUAGUUUCUCUGAAAAUUUAUCCAUGCUGAUUUUUAAAAGUUGGCAGAGGCGUCGUUCUGGCUGUGGAUCGGGGCUUCUGGAACAAGCAGGCCCAGGAGUCUCUGAGGCUUCCCCGGCAGAUUCCCU